rnacentral:rRNA from 1 species
ACGUAGGGAGCAAGCGUUGUCCGGAAUGACUGGGCGUAAAGGGCGCGUAGGUGGCCUAAUAAGUUUGGAGUGAAAGUCCUGCUUUCAAGGUGGGAAUUGCUUUGAAAACUGUUAGGCUUGAGUGUGGGAGAGGAUAGCGGAAUUCCCGGUGUAGCGGUGAAAUGCGUAGAGAUCGGGAGGAACACCAGUGGCGAAGGCGGCUAUCUGGACCAAGACUGACACUGAGGCGCGAAAGCGUGGGGAGCAAACAG